UCUCUGAAUCCCACAUAGGAGGUUUGAUCCAGGCCUUUAAAGAGUCUCUGUUCUUGGAGAGAAUCACUAUGGUAGGAAUUUAUUACAGGUGAAUUUCUGGAAAUAAUUGUCGUAUAAAGAUCAUGCCAGAGAUCUCAGAAAAACAAAAAGGCAGCUUCUUCUAACUGAUAAAGAAGGCAGCUUAACAAGAACACUGGGUUCCUGCUUCGACAAGGGACUUGGAAGGUUUCACUUUCCCUCUCUGGUAUUGGUUUCCCUUCUGGAUCCCCAAACUCAGCAAAAUUCAGAAACCAUGACCUCCAAGUCUCAGCUGCCUUGUAUCACAAAUAUCACUUACUCCAUGAAGCCUUCUUGGAUUCUUCACCACCCCCCAAGCUGUAAGUGACUCCACCUCUCUGCUAUUUCCUUUUUUCCACCUGAAAUUCUGAUUAUUUGUGAAAUGACUUUAUGUGCCUACCAGCCUGAAAUGACCUUGAGAUCAUAGCAGGUACCAAUACUUUAUAUUUGAAUAAUACUUAAUAUUUUGCACGAAUCAACUACCCAUCAGGAAAGGAAGGCUUUAUCAUCCCCACUUCCAUUCUUCAGAUUACAAAACAAGUACUUGAAUGGUAUACCUAAGAUUGUGUAAAAUGGCAGAGCAAA
rnacentral:lncRNA from 1 species